rnacentral:rRNA from 1 species
AUACGUAGGGGGCGAGCGUUGUCCGGAAUGAUUGGGCGUAAAGGGCGCGUAGGCGGCUUUGCAAGUCAGUAGUGGAAGUCCAUUUUUCAAGGAUGGAAGUGCUACAGAAACUGCGGAGCUUGAGUGCAGGAGAGGUUAUCGGAAUUCCCGGUGUAGCGGUGAAAUGCGUAGAGAUCGGGAGGAACACCAGUGGCGAAGGCGGGUAACUGGACUGCAACUGACGCUGAGGCGCGAAAGUGUGGGGAGCAAACAGGAUUAGAUACCCUGGUAAUCCACACUGUAAACGAUGAAUGCUAGGUGUAGGAGGUAUCGACCCCUUCUGUGCCGCAGUAAACACAGUAAGCAUUCCGCCUGGGGAGUACGGUCGCAAGAUUAAAACUCAAAUGAAUUGACGGGG